rnacentral:rRNA from 1 species
CUGAAGAGUUUGAUCAUGGCUCAGAUUGAACGCUGGCGGCAGGCCUAACACAUGCAAGUCGAGCGGAAACGAUCCUAGCUUGCUAGGAGGCGUCGAGCGGCGGACGGGUGAGUAACGCGUGAGAAUCUGCCCAUUUGUGGGGGAUAACUCGGGGAAACUCGAGCUAAUACCGCAUAAUCCCUACGGGGGAAAGCAGGGGACCUUCGGGCCUUGUGCAGAUGGAUGAGCUCGCGUCGGAUUAGCUUGUUGGUGAGGUAAAAGCUCACCAAGGCGACGAUCCGUAGCUGGUCUGAGAGGAUGAUCA